rnacentral:rRNA from 1 species
ACUGCUGGACAAGGAGUGUUCUGUUGAGCUCAUUUUCACACGAUGAACAACUGGCUUAGAACUGAUUCGGGCAAGGGGAAUCCGACUGUUUAAUUGAAACAAAGCAUUGCGAGGGCCUCAAAGGGUGGUGCCACAAUGUGAUUUCUGCCCAGUGCUCUGAAUGUCAAAGUGAGGAAAUUCAACUAAGCGCGGGUAAACGGCGGGAGUAACUAUGACUCUCUUAAGGUAGCCAAAUGCCUCGUCAUCCAAUUAGUGACGCGCAUGAAUGGAUUAAUGAGAUUCCCACUGUCCCCAUCUACUGUCCAGCGAAACCACAGCCAAGGGAACGGGCUUGGGUAAAUCAGCGGGGAAAGAAGACCCUGUUGAGCUUGACUCUAAUCUGACUUUGUGAAAUGACUUAGGAGGUGUAGGAUAUGUGGGAGCUCUGGUGAUCUUGAAAUACCACUACUCUUAAUGUCACUUUACUUACUCUAUCAGACUGUGGCCUGCUUCCCAGCAGGUUUUUGUUUCAAGGCAUCUCAUCUGACUUGUUGACUUGCGUAGAGGACGUAGUCAGGUGGGCAGUUUGGCUGGGGCGGCACAUCUGUUAAAGGAUAACGCAGGUGUCCCAAGGUAAGCUCAAGGAGAACAGAAAUCUCAUGUGGAUCAGAA